rnacentral:lncRNA from 1 species
GGUCUCUAAGUCACAUGUAUGUUGUGUUUUCAUUUUGUUCUUUUCUUUGGUGUGGUUCUGUCCCCUCGCCUCUUCCCUUGUCCCCUCGCCUCUUGUCCUCGUUUCGGGAGCUUGCGUCUAUCGAUUAAAAGUUGGAAAUGCUGAAAUAUUGUACUAUUUAUAUCUUUGAAGGCAGUGAAGACCUGGGUGUGUGCAUUGCUGCUUGUAAAAGGAAGAUUAUGAUCUCUUCCUUUGCAUAAAAAUCUGUCAUUGUACCCUCACUUCAGAAGGGUU